UUCAGCAGCCGCCUGUAGUGAUAAAAGGAUGAGACGCUCAGCCUUCCGUCACUUGAUCCUGUAACCGGCGGAGGUUCCACUACUUUCUCCCUCAGGUUUCACGUGUCAUCAGCGCUCUGUGUGACGAGGAUGCUGCCACUUAACUGUUCGGCACAGGCGAGGUUCCCAUCAGUCAUCACAAUGGCUUUAAUGAGAGGAGGGGGAUGUUUGUUGGAGGGUGCUCUAGGAUGGACCACUGGAUGAAUUCUUAAACUAAAACGACUGUCGGGAUGGAUGUUUCAGUGGAGAUGCUGCUGUGCUGUCAACAAUGAACCUGCUGAGUCACCAGAGCUGCAGACAGAUGAACGUUUCAGUGGAGCUGCUGCUGUGCCAUCAACAAUGAACCUGCUGAGUCACCAGAGUUGCAGACAGAUGAACGUUUCAGUAGAGCUGCUGCCGUGCCAUCAACAAUGAACCUGCUGAGUCACCAGAGCUGCAGUCGACUUGACUGCUCCCACUGAUGGAUGGCAAAUCUGUGGAUUCUCAAGUGUGAUCAAACCAUUGAAGCUGGCUGAACUUCGCCACUGAUGGACCCGCAAACGAUGAAUCUGCUGUUUCACAAGUUUAAGUUUCAAAGUUUACUUCUUUAGACAAGCAUCUGUCAGUGUGGGAAAGGAGUGCGCUUCAUCUUUAAGCAAAAAAUGUAGAACUGAAAUGUUUAAUAACAGCUUUGUGACCAUAAAUGACAGGUGUAGUUAUUUGAAUUGUUAAAUAUCUGUUUUCUGUUCAUGCUGUCUAAUAACCUACCUGCUGCUGCUGUUUGGCUCAUGUUUAUCAUUUUGCACAUUUUGUUCAAGUAAUAAAGCUCCAAGAG